GACGAACGCUGGCGGCGUGCCUAACACAUGCAAGUCGAGCGGGAACCUCAGGAGGGGUAACCCUCUUGAGGGGAGAGCGGCGAACGGGUGAGUAACACGUGGGCAACCUGCCCCGGACACCGGGAUAACCCAGGGAAACCUGAGCUAAUACCGGAUACUCCGGCGUGAUCGCAUGGUCGCGCCGGGAAAGCUCCGACGGUCCGGGAUGGGCCCGCGGCCGAUCAGCUUGUUGGUGGGGUAACGGCCCACCAAGGCGACGACGGGUAGCUGGUCUGAGAGGACGGCCAGCCACACUGUGACUGAGACACGGCCCAGACUCCUGCGGGAGGCAGCAGUGGGGGAUCUUGCGCUAAUGCGCGAAAGCGUGACGCAGCGACGCCGCGUGGGGGAUGAAGGCCCUCGGGUUGUAAACCCCUUUCGGCAGGGACGAAGCGAAAGUGACGGUACCUGCAGAAGAAGUCCCGGCUAACUACGUGCCAGCCGCCGCCGUAACAC
rnacentral:rRNA from 1 species